rnacentral:rRNA from 1 species
GACGAACGCUGGCGGCGUGCUUAACACAUGCAAGUCGAACGGAAAGGCCCUGCUUUUGUGGGGUGCUCGAGUGGCGAACGGGUGAGUAACACGUGAGUAACCUGCCCUUGACUUUGGUAUAACUUCAGGAAACUGGGGCUAAUACCGGAUAGGAGCUCCUGCUGCAUGGUGGGCGUUGGAAAGUUUCGGCGGUUGGGGAUGGACUCGCGGCUUAUCAGCUUGUUGGUGGGGUAGUGGCUUACCAAGGCUUUGACGGGUCGCCGGCCUGAGAGGGUGACCGGGCUCAAUGGGACUGAGGUACGGCGCAGACGCCUACGGGAGGCAGCGGUGGGGAGUAUGGUACAAUGGGAGGAAGCCGGAUGCAGCAACGCCGCGUGCGGGAUGACGGCCUGUGGGGUGUAAACCGCUUUCGCCUGUGACGAAGCGGGAGUGACGGUAAUGGGUAAAGAAGCACCGGCUAACUACGUG